GAAAUGCGAUAAGUAAUGUGAAUUGCAGAAUUCAGUGAAUCAUCGAAUCUUUGAACGCACAUUGCGCCCGCCAGUAUUCUGGCGGGCAUGCCUGUUCGAGCGUCAUUUCAACCAUCAAGCCCCGGGCUUGUGUUGGGGACCUGCGGCUGCCGCAGGCCCUGAAAACCAGUGGCGGGCUCGCUGUCACACCGAGCGUAGUAGAUUCUCAUCUCGCUCAGGGCGUGCUGCGGGUUCCGGCCGUAAAACAGCCUUAUUUUAACCAAGGUUGACCUCGGAUCAGGUAGGAAGACCCGCUGAACUUAAGC
rnacentral:misc_RNA from 1 species